rnacentral:rRNA from 1 species
AACGAACGCUGGCGGCAGGCUUAACACAUGCAAGUCGAACGCCCCGCAAGGGGAGUGGCAGACGGGUGAGUAACGCGUGGGAACAUACCCUUUUCUACGGAAUAGCUCUGGGAAACUGGAAUUAAUACCGUAUACGCCCUACGGGGGAAAGAUUUAUCGGGGAAGGAUUGGCCCGCGUUGGAUUAGCUAGUUGGUGGGGUAAAGGCCUACCAAGGCGACGAUCCAUAGCUGGUCUGAGAGGAUGAUCAGCCACAUUGGGACUGAGACACGGCCCAAACUCCUACGGGAAGCAGCAGUGGGGAAUAUUGGGCAAUGGGCGCAAGCCUGAUCCAGCCAUGCCGCGUGAGUGAUGAAGGCCUUAGGGUUGUAAAGCUCUUUCACCGAUGAAGAUAAUGACGGUAGUCGGAGAAGAAGCCCCGGCUAACUUCGUG